AUCCCGGCCCCUCCUCCGCCAGCCGCGUCCUCCCGGGCUUGGUGAGGAACUGUUCCUGGAGGAGCCGCGGGACGCCAAAACCAGCCAAUGGGAAGCGGCGAUUCGCGGAGAUUGGCACUGAUGAUGGGAAGGAAUAUUGAUCUCAGCGUUACUUUGACCAUUAAUGAAUUAUGAUGGCAAUAAGCAAAGAUUCGCACCUCUAGCCUCCGGGGAGCUUAAUCUUCUGCUACAACAUUUGCAUUUGGUGUCUCUCUACUGCUCAGGCUGGAGUGCAGUGGUGCGAUCAUAGCUCACUGCAGCCUCGACUUCCUGGGCUCAGGUGACCCUCUCGCCUGAAACCAUAUUCCCCCUCAAGUAGCUGAGACUACAGUUGCAGCAGCCUAGGAGGAAAGCAGCAGAGAAAGACAACCUGUGACCCUACUGAGCUGCAGGCAGAAGAAUCUUCUUUGUACUGCUCGAGGUCAAGAAUGUGUUUACCCCCUGGCCUAAUGCUCUGAACUUUUGCAUCUGAGUGCAGGACUUCAGGACCUCUGAAGGCCACCACGCAGUGGAAUGAAGCUCCCUAGCAGAAGCAACUGGAUUAAACGUGCAACAAGACCAGUCCACACCAGCCCCCCAAGUCACUGAACUCAAUGACAUCAUGCCCAGGCAGAGAAAGUCAACAGGCCUCUGGCCCGGGUCCCCUCCACUCCUCUCAUUUCUUCUGCCUCUCGCUGUUCUUAACCCAGGGACAGUAUUUAGAAAGCAGAGCGGGUUCAGGCAGCCCUCUCAAUUACUUUGGCUGGAACCUUCCUGAGUACAUUUUGCUAUCUCUUUGUGAUGUAAACAGGGGCAUUCACAGUUGGCAGGGGAUGCUCUUUCUGUUUUAAUUACACAUGGCAUAAUUAUAGUCCCAGGGUCUGGAAACAGCACAAAGUUCUUUGGAGAACUUCAUAGGGAUUUUUCUGUUAUGACAUAGUUUAUCAGGAGAAAAAAAAGUAAGGCAAAAGACAUUUCCAAAGAGGAACGAACAACACUAUUUAUACUAGCAUUCCAUUCCCUAAUGAGCAGAUCACAAAAUUGGAGUAGACAUUUUUUCUGGAGGCGGGGGUGGAGUUUCAAAAUUUUGGACUCAUGGACAGUGGUGGCAAAAUCUAGAUAAAUACUAAUGAAUGGAUGUGGGUGGAGAAGGAUAUAUACGUAAAUUUUUUUUACUUAAGAAAGCAAUUAGAAGGCAUCCAGCUGUAUCUGAGGGAAUUUGCACGUACCCUGGACCCUGAGGAUAUGGAAAAAGAUUCUACCAUAGUCAUAGUAAUCUGGCCUAAACCUGAGUCGUAAAAUUCUCUCUGCCCCCAGAUGUGCAGUAUGAGGGCACUUCAUUACUCUGCUGAUGUAGUGAGAAAUCGCAGAACUGCCAUGGUAAUGGAGAGUGCAGUGACAGAGAUGGGGAGAGACGGCUGUUUCUCUGUUAUGAAACAUGUUUUCAUAGGUAAUUCUGAUGUACAGUAGGUAUUAAAUAGAGCAACGAAAAGAUGUUUUAUUUUAGAUUACUGCUAGAGUGAUAUUUCCCCCAUGGCACUAAUAAUCUGGCUGCUUUCUAAAGCCUAUUUCCUCUCCCAGUUUCUCAUAGACUCCCAGCACUGUUUUGGCAGAAGGGUAAGCCAUUGCAUUGAAAUUUCUGCCUUGGAAAAGUAGAAGAUCAACUUUAUAUAUUAUGCAUUUUAUAUUUAGACUAGAGGGACAUGGUGCAUUUUUUUCUGGUGGGGAGGAAGAUAUUAAAUAAGUUCUGCUUUUGCAAUGUAGAGAUAGGAAUAUAUAUAGGGGGUAAAAAUAUUUCAAGAACGGCUUUUUGUAAUUGAGUGAUUUUUUUUUUUCUAAGACAGAGUCUUGCUCUGUUGCCCUGGCUGGAGUAUAGUGGCACAAUCUUGGCUCACUGCAACCUCCGCCUCCCAGGUUUGAGCGAUCCUCCUGCCUCGGCCCCCCUAGUAGCUGGGAUUACAGGCACGCACCACCAUGCCCAGCUAAUGUUUGUGUUUUUAGUAGAGACAGGGUUUUGCCAUGUUGGCCAGGCUGGUCUCAAACUCCUGACCUCAGGUGAUCCACCUGACUUACCCUCCCAAAGUGUUGGGAUUAUAGGCGUGAGCCACUGUGCCCAACCUCGAGUGAUCAUUUAAGACACCCCUGUAUGCAUGCAUGCUGGUUUGAAAUCCAGGGGACACACCACUUCAGCCUAGCCUCUCUGCUGUCUGUAUCACGGAGGACUCACAGACCUAGUUUAAUUGUAUGCUUCUUACAUAUUUCAAGGCUGACACAGGAACAGCAAUAAGAGGCCUGUGGUUGAAACCACAUCGUUUUCAUCACAGUGGAAAAAAAAUAAGGUCAUUGCAGGUUUGGAGCAUGGUUAGGUUUGAGCCUGCCCACAUUAUUUUAUUCAUGUUAAAAUAUAAAGAGAUGGCCGGGCGCGGUGGCACACGCCUGUAAUCCCAGCACUUUGGGAGGCCGAGGCGGGCGGAUCACGAGGUCAGGAGAUCGAGACCAUCCCGGCUAAAAAAACGGUGAAACCCCGUCUCUACUAAAAAUACAAAAAUU
rnacentral:lncRNA from 1 species